rnacentral:rRNA from 1 species
UACGAAGGGAGCUAGCGUUGUUCGGAAUCACUGGGCGUAAAGCGCACGUAGGCGGAUGUGUCAGUCAGGGGUGAAAUCCCGGAGCUCAACUUCGGAACUGCCUUUGAUACAGCACGUCUUGAGUCCGGAAGAGGUGGGUGGAAUUCCUAGUGUAGAGGUGAAAUUCGUAGAUAUUAGGAAGAACACUGGUGGCGAAGGCGGGCCACUGGUCCGGUACUGACGCUGAGGUGCGAGAGCGUGGGGAGCAAACAGG